AAAGUAUAAUUUUACUACGCCUUAAAAUUCAUUGGUGGAAACCGUCUUUCUAAGAAGGAAACAGGCUUUUUCCCUAGAAGCUUUUUGUUAAGAGCAUGUUACAUUUACUAAUAAUGAAAUAUAUUUGUCCAGUUAAAAUAUAUGCUUCCUGUUUAUGCUGUUAUGUAUAGUAUUUGUUUUGUUUUCCAUUUCCUGCCUAGACCAAUUCUUUUUCCUUUAUUUGCAAAACCCUGCACCAAUCAUGACUACCAUUUUCAAAUACAAUACAGUCAAACCUUGGUUGUCAAACGUAAUCCAUUCCGGAAGUCCAUUCAGCUUCCAAAACGUUCGACAACCAAAGCGUGGCUUCCAAUUGGUUGCAAGAGCUUCCUGUACUCAAGUGGAAGCUGAAACAGACGUUCAGCUUUCAAAAACCAUUCAAAAACCAGAGCAUUUACUUCCAGGUUUUCGGCAUUCGGGAACCAAGGUUUGACUGUAUCUCACAAAUACUCAGGACAGUCUAUCACCUUGAACAUCCAUUAGAGUACAAAGAAACACUUUGAAAGUUCAAGCAGAUAUACUGUUUACCCAUUCUGUUUACAGGGGAUUCUCAUUUACUGUUGUUAAAAAAUCAACUGAGUCUGAAUAUUCAUCUUAUCUUUCUACAUUAGCAUUAAUUUUCACAUUUACAAUCCAUCUUACUAGAGUUGCCAGUGCCUUACCAUCACAGUUUUGAAAGCGUCAGAUGGAGGCCAGUGAGGAAUUACCAGAUGGUUGGUGACAACUCCAAUCCUUCCAUGGCCUCUCUUAGCCUGGGUUUUGUGUCACUUUGGCAAUGACACAGAGAUGUUGGACACAGAGGAUUAAGAUGCAGAUGUCUUGAGGUGACGCUGAGCAUCGAAGCAGCAGUGAGUUCCAUAUUACAGUUCCUGCUGAGAGCUUUUCCGGAACAUUGGCUACCCUGAGCACUUAGAUUAUCAUUUUUUAAAAAUACAGGCACAUGGCAGCAUUUUUCUAAAAGGUUCAAGUUUUGCAUCUGAAAUACAUAGUUUAAUCUACGCGUCUCCCCGCCCCCUAAUACCUGGCUCUGGGGCCUUGCGAUCGGAUACAUUCCUUUUGAACUCCAAAACAACAUUUCUGGGACAAUGAAUAGAGAAGCCUUUGGUUUACAAAAAUAUUUUUGCAACAAUCAGGUGCCUGAAUGGGCUUCCUGUAGGCCUGGCGCUCAUGAAGGCGAAUUAUGAUGCUAUGAACUAUCACUGACCUCAGGCUUUCUGGGAUCUAUUGAAUCAUGCCAGCACUGAAGCAAUAGGACUCUUUGUCGUUAAAAGUUACCUAACAUUUGCCAUGGGAACAUUUGGGGAGACUGGACUCCCUCUCUUUGGCAGCAAGCACCAGGACCAGUUGCAAAAAGUGCCCAGGAACACAACUACGAAACAAUGGUCUGGGGGGGGGGGGACUGUGCUGUUCUAUGAAGCUCUUUCUUCCAUGGUUUUCUCCAGCUGCAUUUCUGUUUGGAUUCCUCCUAGGAUGUAUGGACAGAGCUGGUAGUAUGUUUUUGCAUUUGCACUAAAAAUAAAAGACCCAAGUUAGUUGCCAACACA